UACGUAGGUGGCAAGCGUUGUCCGGAAUUAUUGGGCGUAAAGCGCGCGCAGGCGGUUCUUUAAGUCUGAUGUGAAAGCCCACGGCUCAACCGUGGAGGGUCAUUGGAAACUGGAGAACUUGAGUACAGAAGAGGAAAGCGGAAUUCCACGUGUAGCGGUGAAAUGCGUAGAGAUGUGGAGGAACACCAGUGGCGAAGGCGGCUUUCUGGUCUGUAACUGACGCUGAGGCGCGAAAGCGUGGGGAUCAAACAGG
rnacentral:rRNA from 1 species